rnacentral:rRNA from 1 species
GAUGAACGCUGGCGGCGUGCUUAACACAUGCAAGUCGAACGGGAAUUAUUUUAUUGAAACUUCGGUCGAUUUAAUUUAAUUCUAGUGGCGGACGGGUGAGUAACGCGUGGGUAACCUGCCUUAUACAGGGGGAUAACAGUCAGAAAUGGCUGCUAAUACCGCAUAAGCGCACAGAGCUGCAUGGCUCAGUGUGAAAAACUCCGGUGGUAUAAGAUGGACCCGCGUUGGAUUAGCUGGUUGGUGGGGUAACGGCCCACCAAGGCGACGAUCCAUAGCCGGCCUGAGAGGGUGAACGGCCACAUUGGGACUGAGACACGGCCCAGACUCCUACGGGAGGCAGCAGUGGGGAAUAUUGCACAAUGGGGGAAACCCUGAUGCAGCGACGCCGCAUGAAGGAAGAAGUAUCUCGGUAUGUAAACUUCUAUCAGCAGGGAAGAUAGUGACGGUACCUGACUAAGAAGCCCCGGCUAACUACGUG